rnacentral:rRNA from 1 species
GGUUAAGCGACUAAGCGUACACGGUGGAUGCCCUGGCAGUCAGAGGCGAUGAAGGACGUGCUAAUCUGCGAAAAGCGCCGGCGAGGUGAUAUGAACCUUUGACCCGGCGAUGUCCGAAUGGGGAAACCCAGUGCAAUCCGUUGCACUAUCGUUAACUGAAUACAUAGGUUAACGAGGCGAACCGGGGGAACUGAAACAUCUAAGUACCCCGAGGAAAAGAAAUCAACCGAGAUUCCCCCAGUAGCGGCGAGCGAACGGGGAGCAGCCCGGAGUCUGAAUCAGCUUGUGUGUUAGUGGAACGGUCUGGAAAGUCCGACGGUACAGGGUGAUAGUCCCGUACACGAAAGCACACAUGCUGUGAACUCGAAGAGUAGGGCGGGACACGUGGUAUCCUGUCUGAAUAUGGGGGGACCAUCCUCCAAGGCUAAAUACUCCUGACUGACCGAUAGUGAACCAGUACCGUGAGGGAAAGGCGAAAAGAACCCCGGCGAGGGGAGUGAAAAAGAACCUGAAACCGUGUACGUACAAGCAGUGGGAGCCUCUUUAUGGGGUGACUGCGUACCUUUUGUAUAAUGGGUCAGCGACUUAUAUUCUGUAGCAAGGUUAACCGUAUAGGGGAGCCGAAGGGAAACCGAGUCUUAACUGGGCGUUAAGUUGCAGGGUAUAGACCCGAAACCCGGUGAUCUAGCCAUGGGCAGGUUGAAGGUUGGGUAACACUAACUGGAGGACCGAACCGACUAAUGUUGAAAAAUUAGCGGAUGACCUGUGGCUGGGGGUGAAAGGCCAAUCAAACCGGGAGAUAGCUGGUUCUCCCCGAAAGCUAUUUAGGUAGCGCCUCGUGAACUCAUCUUCGGGGGUAGAGCACUGUUUCGGCUAGGGGGCCAUCCCGGCUUACCAACCCGAUGCAAACUACGAAUACCGAAGAAUGUUAUCACGGGAGACACACGGCGGGUGCUAACGUCCGUCGUGAAGAGGGAAACAACCCAGACCGCCAGCUAAGGUCCCAAAGUCAUGGUUAAGUGGGAAACGAUGUGGGAAGGCACAGACAGCCAGGAUGUUGGCUUAGAAGCAGCCAUCAUUUAAAGAAAGCGUAAUAGCUCACUGGUCGAGUCGGCCUGCGCGGAAGAUGUAACGGGGCUAAACCAUGCACCGAAGCUGCGGCAGCGACGCUUAUGCGUUGUUGGGUAGGGGAGCGUUCUGUAAGCCGUUGAAGGUGUCCUGUGAGGGGUGCUGGAGGUAUCAGAAGUGCGAAUGCUGACAUAAGUAACGAUAAAGCGGGUGAAAAGCCCGCUCGCCGGAAGACCAAGGGUUCCUGUCCAACGUUAAUCGGGGCAGGGUGAGUCGACCCCUAAGGCGAGGCCGAAAGGCGUAGUCGAUGGGAAACAGGUUAAUAUUCCUGUACUUGGUGUUACUGCGAAGGGGGGACGGAGAAGGCUAUGUCAGCCGGGCGACGGUUGUCCCGGUUUAAGCAUGUAGGCGGAGGUUCCAGGUAAAUCCGGUACCUUAUNNNNNNNNNNNNNNNNNNNNNNNNNNNNNNNNNNNNNNNNNNNNNNNNNNNNNNNNNNNNNNNNNNNNNNNNNNNNNNNNNNNNNNNNNNNNNNNNNAUUAACGCUGAGGUGUGAUGACGAGGCACUACGGUGCUGAAGUGAUAAAUGCCCUGCUUCCAGGAAAAGCCUCUAAGCAUCAGGUAACACGAAAUCGUACCCCAAACCGACACAGGUGGUCAGGUAGAGAAUACCAAGGCGCUUGAGAGAACUCGGGUGAAGGAACUAGGCAAAAUGGUGCCGUAACUUCGGGAGAAGGCACGCUGAUGUGUAGGUGAAGUCCCUGCGGACGGAGCUGAAAUCAGUCGAAGAUACCAGCUGGCUGCAACUGUUUAUUAAAAACACAGCACUGUGCAAACACGAAAGUGGACGUAUACGGUGUGACGCCUGCCCGGUGCCGGAAGGUUAAUUGAUGGGGUUAGCGGCAACGCGAAGCUCUUGAUCGAAGCCCCGGUAAACGGCGGCCGUAACUAUAACGGUCCUAAGGUAGCGAAAUUCCUUGUCGGGUAAGUUCCGACCUGCACGAAUGGCGUAAUGAUGGCCAGGCUGUCUCCACCCGAGACUCAGUGAAAUUGAACUCGCUGUGAAGAUGCAGUGUACCCGCGGCAAGACGGAAAGACCCCGUGAACCUUUACUAUAGCUUGACACUGAACACUGGUCCUUGAUGUGUAGGAUAGGUGGGAGGCUUUGAAGCGUGGACGCCAGUCUGCGUGGAGCCAACCUUGAAAUACCACCCUUUAAUGGCUGGUGUUCUAACGUAGACCCGUAAUCCGGGUUGCGGACAGUGUCUGGUGGGUAGUUUGACUGGGGCGGUCUCCUCCCAAAGAGUAACGGAGGAGCACGAAGGUUGGCUAAUCCUGGUCGGACAUCAGGAGGUUAGUGCAAUGGCAUAAGCCAGCUUGACUGCGAGCGUGACGGCGCGAGCAGGUGCGAAAGCAGGUCAUAGUGAUCCGGUGGUUCUGAAUGGAAGGGCCAUCGCUCAACGGAUAAAAGGUACUCCGGGGAUAACAGGCUGAUACCGCCCAAGAGUUCAUAUCGACGGCGGUGUUUGGCACCUCGAUGUCGGCUCAUCACAUCCUGGGGCUGAAGUAGGUCCCAAGGGUAUGGCUGUUCGCCAUUUAAAGUGGUACGCGAGCUGGGUUUAGAACGUCGUGAGACAGUUCGGUCCCUAUCUGCCGUGGGCGCUGGAGAAUUGAGGGGGGCUGCUCCUAGUACGAGAGGACCGGAGUGGACGCAUCACUGGUGUUCGGGUUGUCAUGCCAAUGGCACUGCCCGGUAGCUAAAUGCGGAAGAGAUAAGUGCUGAAAGCAUCUAAGCACGAAACUUGCCCCGAGAUGAGUUCUCCCUGAGACCUUGAGUCUCCUGAAGGAACGUUGAAGACGACGACGUUGAUAGGUCGGGUGUGUAAGCGCAGCGAUGCGUUGAGCUAACCGAUACUAAUGAACCGUGAGGCUUAACCUU